GGGGAAGAUAGCUGAUUUUAUAUGUUCAGGAACUCGUAUAUCCACCCAUCUGUAGCUUGUGCACACAAGGUACUAACCUAUGGAAAAUGAUCUUGUUCAGACAUGUUGUCUUGGAGGAAAAAGUUGAUCAAGUAGUGCAGUAGUUAUUGUUUUCAGGAUCAAGUCAACAAGAUAUUGACUUGUGUGCACAGGGUAAUAGAUUAUCGUAAAUGCCUAAGGCAAUAACUUUGGGACACAAGAUAAUAUCUUGUUUUCACAAUAUAAUGAUGAUGUGCCCACAAGAUAACUUACUUCUGCCGCUAAGAUCAUAACUGUAAAAUGUUCCCACAGGAUACCAGCUUUGUCUCACAAGAUAAUCACUGAAGAGCCCGAGAGAAUAUACUGGUCAGGAGGGCCAGUUCUGUCCUGGACUGUUCUUUGGACUCCCUGGAGGAGGUGGGUGAGAGGAGGAUGUUAGCAAAGCUUGUAUCCAUCAUGGACAAUCCCUCCCACCCACUGCACCAGACUGUGGGGGCCUUAAGCAGCUCCUUCAGCAGCAGACUUAGACUCCCACCUUGCAAGACGGAGCGCUACCGCAGGUCAUUCCUCCCCUCUGCAAUAAGACUUUACAACGAACUGUAAUAA